CCUACGGGUGGCAGCAGUGAGGAAUAUUGGUCAAUGGACGAGAGUCUGAACCAGCCAAGUAGCGUGAAGGAUGACUGCCCUAUGGGUUGUAAACUUCUUUUAUAUGGGAAUAAAAUGUUCCACGUGUGGGAUUUUGUAUGUACCCUAUGAAUAAGGAUCGGCUAACUCCGUGCCAGCAGCCGCGGUAAUACGGAGGAUCCGAGCGUUAUCCGGAUUUAUUGGGUUUAAAGGGAGCGUAGGUGGAUUGUUAAGUCAGUUGUGAAAGUUUGCGGCUCAACCGUAAGAUUGCAGUUGAAACUGGCAGUCUUGAGUAGAGUAGAGGUGGGCGGAAUUCGUGGUGUAGCGGUGAAAUGCUUAGAUAUCACGAAGAACUCCGAUUGCGAAGGCAGUUCACUGGACUGCAACUGACACUGAGGCUCGAAAGUGUGGGUAUCAAACAGGAUUAGAUACCCUAGUAGUC
rnacentral:rRNA from 1 species